UGCAAUGGCCGGGAAUCGAACCCGGGGCGCCCACGUGUCAGGCGAGCAUUCUACCACUGAACCAAAAGC
rnacentral:tRNA from 1 species